rnacentral:rRNA from 1 species
GGUUAAGCGACUAAGCGUACACGGUGGAUGCCCUGGCAGUCAGAGGCGAUGAAGGACGUGCUAAUCUGCGAUAAGCGUCGGUAAGGUGAUAUGAACCGUUAUAACCGGCGAUUUCCGAAUGGGGAAACCCAGUGUGUUUCGACACACUAUCAUUAACUGAAUCCAUAGGUUAAUGAGGCGAACCGGGGGAACUGAAACAUCUAAGUACCCCGAGGAAAAGAAAUCAACCGAGAUUCCCCCAGUAGCGGCGAGCGAACGGGGAGGAGCCCAGAGCCUGAAUCAGUGUGUGUGUUAGUGGAAGCGUCUGGAAAGGCGCGCGAUACAGGGUGACAGCCCCGUACACAAAAAUGCACAUAUUGUGAGCUCGAUGAGUAGGGCGGGACACGUGGUAUCCUGUCUGAAUAUGGGGGGACCAUCCUCCAAGGCUAAAUACUCCUGACUGACCGAUAGUGAACCAGUACCGUGAGGGAAAGGCGAAAAGAACCCCGGCGAGGGGAGUGAAAAAGAACCUGAAACCGUGUACGUACAAGCAGUGGGAGCACGCUUAGGCGUGUGACUGCGUACCUUUUGUAUAAUGGGUCAGCGACUUAUAUUCUGUAGCAAGGUUAACCGAAUAGGGGAGCCGAAGGGAAACCGAGUCUUAACUGGGCGUUAAGUUGCAGGGUAUAGACCCGAAACCCGGUGAUCUAGCCAUGGGCAGGUUGAAGGUUGGGUAACACUAACUGGAGGACCGAACCGACUAAUGUUGAAAAAUUAGCGGAUGACUUGUGGCUGGGGGUGAAAGGCCAAUCAAACCGGGAGAUAGCUGGUUCUCCCCGAAAGCUAUUUAGGUAGCGCCUCGUGAAUUCAUCUCCGGGGGUAGAGCACUGUUUCGGCAAGGGGGUCAUCCCGACUUACCAACCCGAUGCAAACUGCGAAUACCGGAGAAUGUUAUCACGGGAGACACACGGCGGGUGCUAACGUCCGUCGUGAAGAGGGAAACAACCCAGACCGCCAGCUAAGGUCCCAAAGUCAUGGUUAAGUGGGAAACGAUGUGGGAAGGCCCAGACAGCCAGGAUGUUGGCUUAGAAGCAGCCAUCAUUUAAAGAAAGCGUAAUAGCUCACUGGUCGAGUCGGCCUGCGCGGAAGAUGUAACGGGGCUAAACCAUGCACCGAAGCUGCGGCAGCGACGCUUAUGCGUUGUUGGGUAGGGGAGCGUUCUGUAAGCCUGUGAAGGUGUACUGUGAGGUAUGCUGGAGGUAUCAGAAGUGCGAAUGCUGACAUAAGUAACGAUAAAGCGGGUGAAAAGCCCGCUCGCCGGAAGACCAAGGGUUCCUGUCCAACGUUAAUCGGGGCAGGGUGAGUCGACCCCUAAGGCGAGGCCGAAAGGCGUAGUCGAUGGGAAACAGGUUAAUAUUCCUGUACUUGGUGUUACUGCGAAGGGGGGACGGAGAAGGCUAUGUUGGCCGGGCGACGGUUGUCCCGGUUUAAGCGUGUAGGCUGGUUUUCCAGGCAAAUCCGGAAAAUCAAGGCUGAGGCGUGAUGACGAGGCACUACGGUGCUGAAGCAACAAAUGCCCUGCUUCCAGGAAAAGCCUCUAAGCAUCAGGUAACAUCAAAUCGUACCCCAAACCGACACAGGUGGUCAGGUAGAGAAUACCAAGGCGCUUGAGAGAACUCGGGUGAAGGAACUAGGCAAAAUGGUGCCGUAACUUCGGGAGAAGGCACGCUGAUAUGUAGGUGAAGUCCCUCGCGGAUGGAGCUGAAAUCAGUCGAAGAUACCAGCUGGCUGCAACUGUUUAUUAAAAACACAGCACUGUGCAAACACGAAAGUGGACGUAUACGGUGUGACGCCUGCCCGGUGCCGGAAGGUUAAUUGAUGGGGUUAGCGCAAGCGAAGCUCUUGAUCGAAGCCCCGGUAAACGGCGGCCGUAACUAUAACGGUCCUAAGGUAGCGAAAUUCCUUGUCGGGUAAGUUCCGACCUGCACGAAUGGCGUAAUGAUGGCCAGGCUGUCUCCACCCGAGACUCAGUGAAAUUGAACUCGCUGUGAAGAUGCAGUGUACCCGCGGCAAGACGGAAAGACCCCGUGAACCUUUACUAUAGCUUGACACUGAACAUUGAGCCUUGAUGUGUAGGAUAGGUGGGAGGCUUUGAAGUGUGGACGCCAGUCUGCAUGGAGCCGACCUUGAAAUACCACCCUUUAAUGUUUGAUGUUCUAACGUUGACCCGUAAUCCGGGUUGCGGACAGUGUCUGGUGGGUAGUUUGACUGGGGCGGUCUCCUCCUAAAGAGUAACGGAGGAGCACGAAGGUUGGCUAAUCCUGGUCGGACAUCAGGAGGUUAGUGCAAUGGCAUAAGCCAGCUUGACUGCGAGCGUGACGGCGCGAGCAGGUGCGAAAGCAGGUCAUAGUGAUCCGGUGGUUCUGAAUGGAAGGGCCAUCGCUCAACGGAUAAAAGGUACUCCGGGGAUAACAGGCUGAUACCGCCCAAGAGUUCAUAUCGACGGCGGUGUUUGGCACCUCGAUGUCGGCUCAUCACAUCCUGGGGCUGAAGUAGGUCCCAAGGGUAUGGCUGUUCGCCAUUUAAAGUGGUACGCGAGCUGGGUUUAGAACGUCGUGAGACAGUUCGGUCCCUAUCUGCCGUGGGCGCUGGAGAACUGAGGGGGGCUGCUCCUAGUACGAGAGGACCGGAGUGGACGCAUCACUGGUGUUCGGGUUGUCAUGCCAAUGGCACUGCCCGGUAGCUAAAUGCGGAAGAGAUAAGUGCUGAAAGCAUCUAAGCACGAAACUUGCCCCGAGAUGAGUUCUCCCUGACUCCUUGAGAGUCCUGAAGGAACGUUGAAGACGACGACGUUGAUAGGCCGGGUGUGUAAGCGCAGCGAUGCGUUGAGCUAACCGGUACUAAUGAACCGUGAGGCUUAACCUU